rnacentral:rRNA from 1 species
ACGAACGCUGGCGGCGUGCCUCAUACAUGCAAGUUGAGCGAUGAAGAUUGGUGCUUGCACCCAUUUGAAGAGCAGCGAACGGGUGAGUAACGCGUGGGGAAUCUGCCUUUGAGCGGGGGACAACAUUUGGAAACGAAUGCUAAUACCGCAUAACAACUUUAAACAUAAGUUUUAAGUUUGAAAGAUGCAAUUGCAUCACUCAAAGAUGAUCCCGCGUUGUAUUAGCUAGUUGGUGAGGUAAAGGCUCACCAAGGCGAUGAUACAUAGCCGACCUGAGAGGGUGAUCGGCCACAUUGGGACUGAGACACGGCCCAAACUCCUACGGGAGGCAGCAGUAGGGAAUCUUCGGCAAUGGACGAAAGUCUGACCGAGCAACGCCGCGUGAGUGAAGAAGGGUUUCGGAUCGUAAAACUCUGUUGGUAGAGAAGAACGUUGGUGAGAGUGGAAAGCUCAUCAAGUGACGGUAACUACCCAGAAAGGGACGGCUAACUACGUG